rnacentral:tRNA from 1 species
GUGGGAUUGUGGCUCAGUGGUAGAGCGCUUGCCUAGCAUGUGUGAGGCCCUGGGUUCGAUUCUCAGCACCACA